rnacentral:rRNA from 1 species
GACGAACGCUGGCGGCGUGCCUAAUACAUGCAAGUAGAACGCAGUUGCGAACGGGUGAGUAACGCGUAGGUAACUGCCUCAUAGCGGGGGAUAACUAUUGGAAACGAUAGCUAAUACCGCAUACUGUGAGAUGGACCUGCGUUGUAUUAGGUAGUUGGUGAGGUAACGGGUCACCAAGGCGACGAUACAUAGCCGACCUGAGAGGGUGAACGGCCACACUGGGAAUGAGGAAACGCCCAGACUCCUACGGGGAGCAGGAGUAGGGGAACUUCGGAAAUGGGGGGCAGGCUGACCGAGGAACGCCGGGGGGGUGGAGAAGGUUUUUGGGUCGUAAAGCUCUGUUGUUAGGGAAGCGGUAACUAAACAGAAAGGGACGGCUAACUACGUGCCAGCAGCCGCGGUAAUAC